rnacentral:rRNA from 1 species
UACGUAGGUGGCAAGCGUUGUCCGGAUUUAUUGGGUUUAAAGGGUGCGUAGGUGGUCUAUUAAGUCAGUGCUGAAAUAUCCCGGCUUAACCGGGAGGGUGGCAUUGAUACUGAUGGACUUGAGUAAAGUUGAGGUUGGCGGAAUUGACGGUGUAGCGGUGAAAUGCUUAGAUAUCGUCAAGAACACCUAUAGCGAAGGCAGCUUACUAGGCUGUAACUGACGCUGAGGCACGAAAGUGUGGGGAUCAAACAGG